AUGUAAACAACACAUGUACUGUAUGUAUGGGAGCAGCUCAUCACAGUGUCUCUGGAGAUAAACUGUUGUGCCUGGCUCGGGGCAAACUGCUGUGUGUUUGGUGAGAGAGAGAUAUUAAGAGAGAGGGGGGGUGAGAGAAGAGGGAUUGAGAUGGAAGGGUGAAGGGAGGGGCAGGUAGAGAGAGAGAAAAAGAAAGGUAAAGAGAGAGGAGUAGAGAAGAGGGGAGAGAGAGAGAGACUAAUGCAGUAUUAUAAAAAGGUUAUAGGUGUUACUGGGGACUUGGAAGCAAUGCUAAUUCUGCUUUUGUGUGUUGACUGUUUUCUUUGACUCUAGUGAGGCCUUGUUGCUUUGCACAGUGGGUCCUGUGCGUGGUGUUGCUCUUAGUAUAGUGUUCAUAACAUACCGCCCACAGUAACUUCAUACACAUUCAUUCCUUUUGGGUCCUGCCUAGAAAAAGCAGUUUAAAGUGUAAGGUUUGGGCCCACAACAAUGAAAUGCUAGCCUUUCCUGUGAGGAGCAGUGUCUGACAUUUCCAAAGUUCAACAGCCAUUCAGUGGAUGGUAUUUGUUCUGAGUAGAGGACACUGGGAACACAGCACACACUGUACCUAUACAAACACACAGCAGCAUUUAGAACACUGGCAGGAAGCCUUCUAGAAUGUUAAAACAUAAAUAUAGAACCCUGCUACUAUUACUAAUACUGUUGUCUAUGGUUACAGCAGCAUGGCCAUUCUACUGCAUUAUCUGAUGGCAGUGGCAAUGUCCAGAGACUAACACCAGAGAAUGCUAACAGGGCCAUACGCAAACUUCAUCACCUUCAAAACCCCACACAUUGUUGGUCAAGGUCAUCGCUGAAGUUGUGGAACUGAUCUGUGUCUGUGUGCGUGUUCCAUGCCGGUGUUUUAAACCAGAGAUCAGUUUCAAUCUGGUAAUUUCAUGCCUCCGUCCGUCCUGUGCUCCUGUAGGAAGUCUCCGCUGAGCUCUGGGGGAAUCGCAGGAAAUUGUCGGCAGCACCCCGUUGUGUCCUCCCUAAUCCAGCCGUCACACCCCCUGGUUCCCACCCAGACCUCCAUGCACGUGUGUGUGUAAGGUGGACACACAGAGAGAAGCAGCCUGAUAGUAGUCCCCAGAAACAGCCCAACGGCUGUUUCCUUGUCUCUUCACGCCGUCUCUUCACGCCUCCGUCGUGUUGUUCUCAACACCAGUUUAAAUCAAUAAAGUUUUCUAGAUAUCUGUCAUUUCUUCGGGCUCAUUUCAUUUCUGUGAUGUCGGACCAGGCCUGGACUCGGACUUCAGCUCACCGGGCUUGGGUCGGACUGGGAUCGAAUUUUCAGUUUAGAUGAGAGCCCUAAACUGCAUUCAGGUCUCGUGUGCAGUCUGGCAGUGUCAAUAAUUCAUAUGCUAUAGGCUAAAGGCUUCCAUGCGACAACCUGUUUGCAUAAGGGGUUAUUUAAUUUUUUAGCCAAUUCACUACUGCACGUUGUGUAUUUUGUGGAAUUGUAUUAUUAGUAUGACAUUGGAGAACAUGUUG
rnacentral:lncRNA from 13 species